ACCCUAUUAUUUCUAACCAAUUAAAAGAUUGGGGAUUACGAGCAAUAGCUUAAAAACCUAAGAUUUUGGCGGUGUCUUAUUCAAUCAGGGGGACCUGUAUUAUAAUUCGACAGUCCACGUAUAAAACCUACCCUCUCUAGAAUAUCAGCCUGUGUACUGCCGUCUAAUAGGCACCUAAAGCAUCCUAUAGGAAUUAAUACAAACAUACGUCAGGUCAAAGUGCAGCUUACUGAGAAGGAAAAUAUGGGUCACAGUCUAUAAUAUAGUAACUAAUAAAUUAAUUGAUAGUUUAUAAUUUAGGACUUGAUAGUAAAUUUAUCAAAAAGAUAUAUUGAAUAUGAACCUAAGACAA
rnacentral:rRNA from 1 species